rnacentral:rRNA from 1 species
GCUUGACUGUAUCUUGGAAUUGGGUUCGGGCUUUCUUGCGCAGACUAGGUGGGAGGCUAUGAAGAUUUCUUCUGGGAAAGUUGGAGCCAACAGUGAGAGACCACUCUGGAAAGGCUAGAAUCCUAAUGGUGAUCCUUGAAUCAGGACACUUGACAGUUUCAGGUGGCAGUUUUUCUGGGCGGAAGCCUCAUAAAAGGUAACUGAGGCGCGCAAAGGUCCCCUCAGUCUGGACGGAAAUCAGACAUUGAGUGUAAAGGCAAAAGGGGCUUGACUGCAAGACCCACAAGUCGAGCAGGGGCGAAAGCUGGCCUUAGUGAUCCGACGGUGCCGUGUGGAAGGGCCGUCGCUCAACGAAUAAAAGUUA